rnacentral:rRNA from 1 species
AUUGAACGCUGGCGGCAUGCCUUACACAUGCAAGUCGAACGGCAGCGGACCUUCGGGUGCCGGCGAGUGGCGAACGGGUGAGUAAUAUGUCGGAACGUACCUUUCAGUGGGGGAUAACGUAGCGAAAGUUACGCUAAUACCGCAUAUUCUGUGAGCAGGAAAGCAGGGGAUCGCAAGACCUUGCGCUGAUUGAGCGGCCGAUAUCAGAUUAGCUAGUUGGUGAGGUAAAGGCUCACCAAGGCGACGAUCUGUAGCGGGUCUGAGAGGAUGAUCCGCCACACUGGAACUGAGACACGGUCCAGACUCCUACGGGAGGCAGCAGUGGGGAAUUUUGGACAAUGGGCGCAAGCCUGAUCCAGCCAUGCCGCGUGAGUGAAGAAGGCCUCGGUUGUAAG